rnacentral:lncRNA from 1 species
AACGCCUAGUAUACGCGAGCGAGGAAUAUAAAAAGAAAAGCAUAUCAGAAUGGUUGAAGAUCAUGAAAGCAAUGGCUUUAAACAAACUCGAUUGAUCUCUGGUGCAUCGCGACUCUCCUUUGCUGCCGAGGUACUCGAGCAAAGGCCGUGGCACAAUUACAAAGGGAUAAUGCAGUGCCGCAGUGGAAAUUAUGAUUGGUGAGGCAGAGAGCGAGGGUGAUAGAGUCCCCUUGGACUGCUUUGUUCAGUCCCAAAUUCCACGAACGAAGAAUGGAAGAUCAUUAUCUG